rnacentral:rRNA from 1 species
UACGGAGGGAGCUAGCGUUGUUCGGAAUCACUGGGCGUAAAGCGCACGUAGGCGGAUUGUUAAGUCAGGGGUGAAAUCCUGGAGCUCAACUCCAGAACUGCCUUUGAUACUGGCGAUCUCGAGUCCGGGAGAGGUGAGUGGAACUGCGAGUGUAGAGGUGAAAUUCGUAGAUAUUCGCAAGAACACCAGUGGCGAAGGCGGCCCACUGGCCCGGUACUGACGCUGAGGUGCGAAAGCGUGGGGAGCAAACAGG